rnacentral:rRNA from 1 species
GGAUCCUACGGGAGGCAGCAGUAGGGAAUCUUCCACAAUGGGGGAAACCCUGAUGCAGCGACGCCGCGUGAAGGAAGACGGUUUUCGGAUUGUAAACUUCUGUUCUUAGUGAAGAAGAAUGACGGUAGCUAAGGAGCAAGCCACGGCUAACUACGUGCCAGCAGCCGCGGUAAUACGUAGGUGGCAAGCGUUGUCCGGAAUUACUGGGUGUAAAGGGAGCGCAGGCGGGAAGCCAAGUCAGCUGUGAAAACUACGGGCUUAACUUGUAGACUGCAGUUGAAACUGGUUUUCUUGAGU